AGUGAACGCUGGCGGUAGGCCUAACACAUGCAAGUCGAACGGCAGCACAGUAAGAGCUUGCUCUUACGGGUGGCGAGUGGCGGACGGGUGAGGAAUACAUCGGAAUCUACUUUUUCGUGGGGGAUAACGUAGGGAAACUUACGCUAAUACCGCAUACGACCUACGGGUGAAAGCAGGGGAUCUUCGGACCUUGCGCGAUUGAAUGAGCCGAUGUCGGAUUAGCUAGUUGGCGGGGUAAAGGCCCACCAAGGCGACGAUCCGUAGCUGGUCUGAGAGGAUGAUCAGCCACACUGGAACUGAGACACGGUCCAGACUCCUACGGGAGGCAGCAGUGGGGAAUAUUGGACAAUGGGCGCAAGCCUGAUCCAGCCAUACCGCGUGGGUGAAGAAGGCCUUCGGGUUGUAAAGCCCUUUUGUUGGGAAAGAAAAGCAGCAGAUUAAUACCCCGCUGUUCUGACGGUACCCAAAGAAUAAGCACCGGCUAACUUCG
rnacentral:rRNA from 1 species